rnacentral:rRNA from 1 species
CUCGAUAAACAGGAUGAGAAAUCCUGUCGCCGUAAGCCCAAGGUUUCCUGGGGAAGGAUAAUCCUCCCAUGGGUUAGUCGGUCCCUAAGCCGAGGCUGAAAAGCGUAGGUGAUGGAAAGCAGGUUAAUAUUCCUGCACCACGAGGGAUGGCGUUGAAACGAGCAGGAACGGAGAAGGGUAUGCUGAGCCGGCUGAUGGACGUGCCGGUUCAAGCCUGUAGGUAGGUGGCGUAGGAGUCGAUAGACACAAACGCGCUGCCAAUACCGAGAGGCGAUGAGGUGGAGCUCCGGCUCCGGAACUCAGUGAUCCCAUGCUUCCAAGAAAAGCUGCGCGUGGAGCCACUUUCGUGACCGUACCGCAAACCGACUCAGGUGGGCGGGGUGAAUAUCCCAAGGCGCGUGAGAGAACACUGGCUAAGGAACUCGGCAAAUUGACACCGUAACUUCGGGAGAAGGUGUGCCUGUUGAGGUGAAGGGCUUCGCGUCCGGAGCCUCGGUGGGUUGCAGAGACCAGGGGGUAGCGACUGUUUACUAAAAACAUAGGACUCUGCGAACUCGAAAGAGGACGUAUAGGGUCUGACGCCUGCCCGGUGCUGGAAGGUUAAGGGGAGCUGUCAGAGCAAUCGAAGCAGCGAACCGAAGCCCCAGUAAACGGCGGCCGUAACAAUAACGGUCCUAAGGUAGCGAAAUUCCUUGUCGGGUAAGUUCCGACCUGCACGAAUGGCGUAACGACUUCCCCACUGUCUCGGUCAGUGACUCAGCGAAAUUGUAUUGGGGGUGAAGAUACCCUCUACCCGCGGCAAGACGGAAAGACCCCAUGAACCUUUACUGCAACUUGGCAGUGAAGUUCGGGGCAGCCUGCGUAGGAUAGGUGGGAGGCUUUGAUGUCGGGAUUCUGGUCUCGGCGGAGCCAUCCUUGAAAUACCACCCUGGCUGUUCUGGCCUUCUAACCCAGGCCCGUAAUCCGGGUCGGGGACACUGCCUGGUGGGCAGUUUGACUGGGGCGGUCGCCUCCAAAAGAGUAACGGAGGCGCGCGAAGGUUCCCUCAGGCUGAAUGGAAACCAGCCGUAGAGUGUAAAGGCAUAAGGGAGCUUGACUGUGAGACCGACAGGUCGAACAGGUGCGAAAGCAGGUCUUAGUGAUCCGGUGGCACUGCAUGGAAGGGCCAUCGCUCAACGGAUAAAAGGUACUCUGGGGAUAACAGGCUGAUCGCGCCUGAGAGUUCAUAUCGGCGGCGCGGUUUGGCACCUCGAUGUCGGCUCAUCGCAUCCUGGGGCUGGAGCAGGUCCCAAGGGUUUGGCUGUUCGCCAAUUAAAGCGGUACGCGAGCUGGGUUUAGAACGUCGUGAGACAGUUCGGUCCCUAUCUGCCGUGGGCGUAGGACACUUGAGAGGAGCUGUUCAUAGUACGAGAGGACCUGAAUGGACGUACCUCUGGUGUUCCGGUUGUUCCGCCAGGAGCAUAGCCGGGUAGCCAUGUACGGAACGGAUAACCGCUGAAAGCAUCUAAGCGGGAAGCCGGCCUCAAGAUUAGGUGUCCCGGACUUCGGUCCCUAAAGGCCCCUCGUAGACUACGAGGUGAUAGGCCAGGUGUGGAAGCGCAGCAAUGCGUGGAGCUGACUGGUACUAAUCGGCCGUGCGGCUUUUCCU